rnacentral:rRNA from 1 species
UUUCCCCUACGGGGGGCAGCAGUGAGGAAUAUUGGUCAAUGGGCGGGAGCCUGAACCAGCCAAGUCGCGUGAAGGAAGAAGGUACUUAGUAUUGUAAACUUCUUUUGUCGGGGAACAAAGGCGGAGACGCGUCUCCGGAUGAGUGUACCCGAAGAAAAAGCAUCGGCUAACUCCGUGCCAGCAGCCGCGGUAAUACGGAGGAUGCGAGCGUUAUCCGGAUUUAUUGGGUUUAAAGGGUGCGUAGGCGGUCGGAUAAGUUAGAGGUGAAAUCCCGAGGCUCAACUUCGGCAUUGCCUCUGAUACUG